rnacentral:rRNA from 1 species
AUCUGGGCGGCGGAAUUCAGGAUGGCCGGGCGGGCUUCGCGCACGCUCGGCCGUUUGAUAUUUCCGUCGCCGACGCAGACGUCGCGACCUGUUCGCCUGUCGGUCCUUGCUCGGAGGAAUCGCGUUCGAGUUCGUCGCGGGACGCGUUUCGGCGCGUCAUCGUGACGAAGUCGCGACCUUCUGGCUGACGGCGGACAGUAAGCAACGGUGGCCGGCGUCGUGUCUCGCACUCGACGUCGGUGCCGGUCGGCGACGAUUUCUUCGGGCCUCUUUCCGACCCGUCUUGAAACACGGACCAAGGAGUCUAACAUGCGCGCGAGUCGCGGGGUUUCGAGCGUACCACGGUGCGCUCGUUACUUGCGAAACCCGUACGUUGAAGGCGUAAUGAAAGUGAACAGGGAAGAUGGCGUUCCGAGUCCACGUACCGUGAUCGAGUAUCGCGGCCGGACGCCCGCACUCCCGGGGCGUCUCAAUGGCUCGACGCGGAUGCGGACGGUCGUCUCUCGGGGCGGCCGUCGGUCUGCGUCGGACCGA